UACAGAGGGUGCUAGCGUUGUUCGGAAUCAUUGGGCGUAAAGAGCGUGUAGGCGGCUUUGCAAGUCCGUUGUGAAAACUCGAGGCUCAACCUCGAGACGCCGGUGGAAACUGCAAAGCUAGAGUCCGGAAGAGGAGAGUGGAAUUCCUGGUGUAGCGGUGAAAUGCGCAGAUAUCAGGAAGAACACCAAUGGCGAAAGCAGCUCUCUGGGACGGUACUGACGCUGAGACGCGAAAGCGUGGGGAGCGAACAGG
rnacentral:rRNA from 1 species